rnacentral:lncRNA from 1 species
AAUAUUCAAUGAUGGUGAAUGUGAUUAUUAUGAGAUAAUGUGAAUGCAUAUUAAUAUGCUUUUAGAUGAUGAUGUGAAUUAUAUAAUGAUAAAACCAAAUGAUGAGAUGUUGAUGUAUUGUUUAUAAUGACGUUGAUAUGAUGAUGGUAUGACGAGGUUAAAAAUGAUCAUGGUGAUAUAGUGACAGUAAAUAUAUGAUGUGACGAUGUUGUUGAUGUGAAUUUUCGAGUCAUGUGAAUUUAUGCAUUGUCGAGUCGUGAUAAGAUGUUCAUCCACUCAUGGUCAGUCCAGUGACAGUGAGAAGUGAUGGUGGGAUCACUCAGAAACAUACCUCUGAUAUCCAAAAAAGGUACCACAUGCAUAUAAAGUCGAGUUAGAACAUUGCAUACAUAUGAGUCUAUGUGGAAGAUGUGCACUUGACCAUGUGUAACUAUGUGAAAGAUGUGUGAUUUGACGAUGAUGAAUAUGUGUGAAUACUAUAUAUUUAACUUGGUGAUCAUGAUGAUGUGAUUACUUGAUUAUAUUUUUGUGAUAAUGUUUGAAGUUUUUUAUAUCCAAUUAAUAAUUUAGUGAGAUUACAUGUGAAUAUUGUAUGCUUAAGAUGAAUAUGUUUAUAUGAUUU